rnacentral:snRNA from 1 species
GAUCAAAGUGUAGUAUCUGUUCUUAUCAGCUUAAUAUCUGAUACGACCCCCAUUGGGGGUCUAUGAUAUUAAACUGAUUUUUGAACCUGGGGGAAGAUACAGGGGCUUGCUCCGACUUCCCCACGGGUUGGCC